ACCCCCCUCCUUAUGCCCCCCUCGCUUGAACUCGAGCUCGACCGAACCGCAACCGUCAUGGCCGACCUCGCCCGUAUGCUCUUCGUCGUCCCUGCGCCCUAGGAGUUGUCCAUGAGCUCCGUCGUCGAAUGCUACGCCCCCUACGCCAACGAACACGAGCCGGCCUCCCUACAGAGCCAGAUCACCGUCUUCUUCAACUUUCGGCCGCCGUGAUGUCGUCGUCACCACUGCAUCCCCGGCUUCCUCGAUCUCACCUACAGCUUCCCCAUGUUGGAGCCCAGGAGCCAGACGCCAUCGACGAUGAUGCCUACUACACCGAAGGUGCCUACUACUACGUGCAGGCCGCCGCCGCCGACGACCAGGAGUAGUUUAGGAGGAUCGCAGGCACGAGACCUGCGCCUCUUUUAAUCUGUAUCCUAGUUUGUGCUAGCCAUCUUAUGGCAACUUGUUUAACUUAUGUCUGUACUCAGAUAGUAUUGCUUCCAUUGACUCGUCUAUGAUCAAGCACUUGUUUUCUAUCCCUCGAGGCCCUUGGCUUGUAUUAUAAUGCUUGUAUGACUUAUUUAUUUUUAGAGUUGUGCUGUGAUA
rnacentral:rRNA from 1 species